UACGGGGGGGGGCAAGCGUUGUUCGGAAUUACUGGGCGUAAAGGGCUCGUAGGCGGCCAACUAAGUCAGACGUGAAAUCCCUCGGCUCAACCGGGGAACUGCGUCCGAUACUGGCGAGGCUUGAAUCCGGGAGAGGGAUGUGGAAUUCCAGGUGUAGCGGUGAAAUGCGUAGAUAUCUGGAGGAAUACCGGUGGCGAAGGCGGCAUCCUGGACCAUAACUGACGCUGAGGCGCGAAAGCUAGGGGAGCAAACGGGG
rnacentral:rRNA from 1 species